CUGUAGCUCUUUCAAGUCUGCCUCAACCUUCCUUCUCACAGGAAUGAAUAGGAAGAUCACAGCUUUUUUAAUGAGCCAGGAGAAUAAAAAAUAAACAACAGAAUGGGCUGUAAUCUGUUUCUCCUCCAUAGACAUCUAAAGUUAUGCUUGAACACUUUUUUGGGGCUGUAGCAUGACAAGUUACCUCUGAUUCAUACCUUGUCAUGGCAUAAGAUGGAUCUCCAAAGGGAAAGCAUCUCCUCCCUCAACACGUCUC